rnacentral:rRNA from 1 species
GCUAACGCAUUAAAGCACUCCGCCUGCCGGAGUACGGUCGCAAGACUGAAACUCAAAGGAAUUGACGGGGGCCCGCACAAGCGGUGGAGCAUGUGGUUUAAUUCGAAGCAACGCGAAUAACCUUACCAGGUCUUGACAUCCCGUUGACCACUGUAGAGAUAUGGUUUCCCCUUCGGGGGCAACGGUGACAGGUGGUGCAUGGUUGUCGUCAGCUCGUGUCGUGAGAUGUUGGGUUAAGUCCCGCAACGAGCGCAACCCUUGAUCUUAGUUGCCAUCAUUUAGUUGGGCACUCUAAGGUGACUGCCGGUGACAAACCGGAGGAAGGUGGGGAUGACGUCAAAUCAUCAUGCCCCUUAUGACCUGGGCUACACACGUGCUACAAUGGACGAUACAAACGGUUGCCAACUCGCGAGAGGGAGCUAAUCCGAUAAAGUCGUUCUCAGUUCGGAUUGUAGGCUGCAACUCGCCUACAUGAAGCCGGAAUCGCUAGUAAUCGCGGAUCACCAUGCCGCGGUGAAUACAUUCCCGGGCCUUGUACACACCGCCCGUCACACCACAAGAGUUUGUAAAACCCGAAGAUGGUGAGAUAACCUUUUGAAGCCACCGCCAAAGGUGGGAUAAAUGAUUGGGGUGAAGUCGUAACAAGGUAACCGAA